GAUGAACGCUGGCGGCGUGCCUAAUACAUGCAAGUCGAGCGAAUGGAUUAAGAGCUUGCUCUUAUGAAGUUAGCGGCGGACGGGUGAGUAACACGUGGGUAACCUGCCCAUAAGACUGGGAUAACUCCGGGAAACCGGGGCUAAUACCGGAUAACAUUUUGAACCGCAUGGUUCGAAAUUGAAAGGCGGCUUCGGCUGUCACUUAUGGAUGGACCCGCGUCGCAUUAGCUAGUUGGUGAGGUAACGGCGCACCAAGGCAACGAUGCGUAGCCGACCUGGGAGGGUGAUCGGCCACACUGGGACUAAGACACGGCCCAGACUCCUACGGGAGGCAGCAGUAGGGAAUCUUCCGCAAUGGACGAAAGUCUGACGGAGCAACGCCGCGUGAGUGAUGAAGGCUUUCGGGUCGUAAAACUCUGUUGUUAGGGAAGAACAAGUGCUAGUUGAAUAAGCUGGCACCUUGACGGUACCUAACCAGAAAGCCACGGCUAACUACGUGCCAGCCGCCGCCGUAA
rnacentral:rRNA from 1 species